UCGCGAUGUCAAGGCUCACAGCGAGAGC
rnacentral:sRNA from 1 species